GCCAGGCCAGGCCAGGUGCGGGCUCUGUCCGCCUCAGCCUCCCACCUUCAGCCCACGGAGGCGGCGGACACACGGGUGAACCGGCGUGGAGCCUGGAGGUUAUGACGGGAGGCUGCGAGGUCCUUUCUGAGGCUGGAUGUUGGCUUCGUAUGGAACAAAAAGGGUAUUUAGGAGCCCUCGCAGGUUUUCCUGGUCCUGGCUGAGAGGUGCUCAGGAAGGGAUUGCACUGGAACUAAAGCUGCUGGUUUGGGAAUGCAGCUCAACGGCAUAAAAUAAAAUUAUGAAAUAAGGUC